rnacentral:rRNA from 1 species
UAGAGGUUUUUNAUCCUGGCUCAGGAUGAACGCUGGCGGCGUGCCUAAUACAUGCAAGUCGAGCGAACGGAUAAGGAGCUUGCUCCUUUGAAGUUAGCGGCGGACGGGUGAGUAACACGUGGGUAACCUACCUAUAAGACUGGAAUAACUUCGGGAAACCGGAGCUAAUGCCGGAUAACAUAUAGAACCGCAUGGUUCUAUAGUGAAAGAUGGUUUUGCUAUCACUUAUAGAUGGACCCGCGCUGUAUUAGCUAGUUGGUAAGGUAAUGGCUUACCAAGGCGACGAUACAUAGCCGACCUGAGAGGGUGAUCGGCCACACUGGAACUGAGACACGGUCCAGACUCCUACGGGAGGCAGCAGUAGGGAAUCUUCCGCAAUGGGCGAAAGCCUGACGGAGCAACGCCGCGUGAGUGAUGAAGGUUUUCGGAUCGUAAAACUCUGUUAUUAGGGAAGAACAAAUGCGUAAGUAACUGUGCGCAUCUUGACGGUACCUAAUCAGAAAGCCACGGCUAACUAC